AUUCUGCCCUCACGGGGAAGGAUGAGAAGCUUCGACUAAGGUUCGAUUCGAGCGGAAGCGAGAAAGCGUUGCCGAAGGCAACGACCCGAAGGGCGAGGCGCAACGCGCCGAGUCAUCCUUCCCCCUCCACCA
rnacentral:sRNA from 1 species